AUUGACUUGAAUGUGUGGUCUAAAUUUAAGGAAAACAAGCCUCCUGAAAUCUUCCUUACAUCAAGUAUAUGAGAUCUUUUGCACCAAUAUACAAAUAAGUCCACCGUGAUAAAUGCUAAUGAGAAACAAAGUCUGUGGGUUCUCGUGAGAUGAUUGACAUUUCCCGUUUCUCAUUACUGGCAUAGCCAAGAAGAAACCAAAACCACGUCAACAAAUUCUGAACGCAUUGUUUGUUGACUUGAUUACCAGCAGUUAAAAAGAUAUGUGUGUCACCUAAGAUAUCAUUUUAAUCGUGGGAAUGAAAGUACUUGGGGUACAUUUGAGCUGUUUUCUAACCACGUGUGAAAGCUGAUAGCUAACUGUGAAAAAGCCUGAGCUGCAGCUGGACAGAAGAAUGCGAGAAUAAAAGAGGAAGCCAGAGGAGGAGCCAGCAUAUGGCCGAGAACAGGAUUUAGAGGUAAGAUAGUCAGAGGGAAAGGCUCUUCCUGAGUUGAGCUGUUGACUAUAUGGACGUUUUCUCUGCUCUCACCGCUGUGCUGAGCUAUGGAUUAGUCUUGCACUAAAAUUCUUUUUUUUUUUUUUAGAUGCUUUAGACACGUAUAAAGGUAAGUACAAAAAACCUUUUUUUGCCUAACAGCUUUGCAAGCAGAGUGUGCAGCUUGGUGAAUCAACUGUUGUGUAUGUAAAAUACAAAGACAAAGAAAAAGGUUUUAGAAGGAUACUAACUUUCUGCGUGAGGCUCAUUUGUGUAUAUUUGCUCAACUUUCCACGGCCAAAACACACGAAACAAGAAAGAACUGCUCACUACAAAGAGAUAUUUUUGUAAAGUCAACUUCAUGAGCAAUAAAAUCUCUGGCAUGCCGUAUCUUUCAGGUGGAAAAGACUAGAAAGAUAUGAAAGAGCACAGAUACAGUCUUUCUACCCUCACGUGCUGUCCUGAAUUCUUUUAUGCUGAAGUAAAAGAGGCUUGGACACAGGGGUAUUAUAACUUUUCCGGAAAUGACGCUGCCUCUUUGCCAAGAUGAACAAGCCAACUCAGAUUCCAAUCAUUGUUCAUGUGCUCUGCUCAGUUCUCAUUGACAUUAAUGCUGGCACCAAAAACUUUUAGCAGAAGUUAUUUUCUAUCCUGUAGUGCGAUUGUGUUAAUUUAUAUGUGACACUUGUCUGCUGUCUUGAGCUCUU
ensembl:lncRNA